UGCAAAAUGUGGUGACUCCCCC
rnacentral:piRNA from 1 species